CAGUAGCCGCGGGAAUACGUAGGUGGCAAGCGUUAUCCGGAAUGAUUGGGCGUAAAGCGUCUGUAGGUGGCUUCUCAAGUCCGCCGUCAAAUCCCAGGGCUCAACCCUGGACAGGCGGUGGAAACUACCAAGCUGGAGUACGGUAGGGGCAGAGGGAAUUUCCGGUGGAGCGGGGAAAUGCGUAGAGAUGUGGAGGAACACCAGUGGCGAAGGCGACUCUCUGGUCUGUAACUGACGCUGAGGAGCGAAAGCGUGGGGAGCGAACAGGAUUAGAUACCCCAGUAGUCCCUGUCUCUUAUAC
rnacentral:rRNA from 1 species